GUGUUCACUUUAGCAACACAUAUACUAAAAUUGGAACAAUACAGAAAAGGUUAGCAUGGUCCCUGUGCAAGGAUGACAUGCAAAUUCAUGAAGCUUUCCAUGUUUGG